AUGAUAUGUUAAUAGCUACAUAUAAAAAAGAAGAUGUGGUAUGAUUGCCAAUGAGACAACUAUCCACAAAAGACCAAAAUGACAUAGACAUUAACAACUACAGGUCACCGUACGGCCUUCAACAAUGAGCAAAGCCCAUACCGCAUAGUGAGCUAUAAAAGGCCCCUAUAAGACAAUGUAAAACAAUUCAAACGAGAAAACUAACGGCCUUAUUUAUGUAAAAAAAUGAACGAAAAACAAAUAUGUAACUCAUAAACAAACGACAACCACUGAAUUACAGGCUCCUGACAUGUAUAUAUUAAGAGGAUUCCAUUAUACUGGACUUCUGAUAUUAGCGAUCACCAACUGACUAUUAUUAUUUUUAAGUCACCAACAACUUAAAAUGUGUUCAAUUUGCCCGUCCGUCUAUCCGUCCGUCCAUCACACUUCAGUUUCAAUUUAGAAAUGCUUUGACAAAAUGAUUCUAUUAUUGGUUUGU
rnacentral:lncRNA from 1 species